rnacentral:tRNA from 1 species
GCGGACGUGUCGUAAUUGGUAGCCGAGCCAGACUUAGGAUCUGGUGCCGAAAGGCGUGAGGGUUCGAGUCCCUCCGUCCGUA